UUGAGUACCAUUCAGAAUAAGUUAUUGGAACUGUAAGUGUAUUGUAUAAUGUGUAGUUUAUGUUUUACUAGGGGGUUGUCCGCGCUUCGCGCGAAAUAUUAUUUUGUUAUGGUUAAAUAUGAUGUUUUUGGAUGAUGUAAUUAUGUGGUCAGUAUUUAUUUGUGAAGAGCAUGAUUUAAUAUUUUAUUGUGUUAUGUACGUAGUAUUAGGUUAUAGAUUAAUAUAUUAUGUGUUCGUCUUUUCAAUAAUGUGUUGUUGUGUGUAUAGUAGUAUUUGUUAGUGGUGAAUUGAGCUUCUAAUGUAAAGCAUAUUGAAGUUCAAUCACUUUGAAUUUAAGCAUUUGUUGAUUCUAACAUUAACGAUUUCAGUGUCAAAGUUGUUUUUCAUAUUUUCACAUUUUUGAACAUUAUUCUUUUUUUAACAACAUUGAACAUUAUUCUCGCAUAUUUUGACUUGAACCGUCACCAUCUAUGUAUUUAUUUACAUUUCCGAUAUGCGGUGUUUCUUACCACCACCGGAAAAGGCUCACCUUUGUUGCUCUUGGUUUUCCUCUUCUUCUUCUCUUGUGAGAUUA
rnacentral:lncRNA from 1 species